ACAACUUCCUUUAUUGGAGAGAGAGAGAAUUUUACAGUACAAUUAAACAAAAUACGACUGACAAUUAUCAAGAGGAAAUACCUGUUGACAUAUAACUUCAAGUCCAAUUAGUCAGUUUGAACGAAUUCAGCUCUCACUGUCGCAGUUCUGGGCACAGUAGCUAGAUCUUCUACUUGUUUCUUUCUUGAUGAUUUUGGCUUUUAUGGAGGCUGGCAAAUUGGAAUAUAGGAAGGAUCUUCGAUGUUCGAUCAGAAGCGAUCUCUUGGGCCGGAAGUUGAGUAACCGGUGCGAUAGUACCAGGACGAGGGCUGUGGGAGACGUAGGCAACGGCAGAGAUACCGAAAGUUUUUUCCUCAACGGGUUUUCUGGACUCUUCUGUUCUGACCUCUCCGGCGAUUGGGGAUUGACUCUGUCUCUUCUUUCUCUGCAACUACCAACCCAUGAUGUGAGCGGCCGAUCCCCUUUUUAAACUCCACUGAGCCAACGCCACCUAGAUAUAAGGCCUGCUUACCAGAUG
rnacentral:lncRNA from 1 species